CCCCCCUCCAGCCAAUCAGCGUAGGAUCCGAUAAACGUUCCUGGCGUUAUGUCUGCAUCCUCGCUCCGUCUGUUGUAAGGAUGUGAUGAUGUAUUUGAGUUUAACACAUAGGUAAGCAGCUAAGCGUUUACCGUGCUCUUCGGUUGUUUUCGGUGAGAUCUCGUGCGUGAUGCGGUGGCUGAAGCUGGCGGACAUGGCGGACGGAGAGAGACGGUCGGUGCAGAAUCCGAAGAAAUGAGCGAAUCAGAACGCACAGAGACUUCAUUACAGGCCGUUCGCUACAUAUAAUAAUAAUAACACGAUGAUCCUGACAGCAUAUAUGGACACCUGUGUCCUUCACCAGGCUCAAGCGGUGUGGCCAUAGCAGCAGUUCUGGAGGAAGAGGAGCAGCGAGUGUUUCGGUGGCGCCACGCCCUGCUGCAGGGCAUGGAGUACCACAGUUCAGGGACAGUGCCUCUCCUGGGAAGCCCUCGCUACUGUCCUGGCACCAACAGCGCUAGCGGCUACCUCUGUCAGACCGGACACUGCUGUCAGGAGACGGGCUGCUGCACCUACUACUACGAGCU